CACAAGCACCACAUGAUACAAAUCGGAAUCAUUUUCCAAAUCGCUUUCAUUUGUUGCACACCUCGAAUGGGGGUCCGGCAUGCCAACAUUUCCACUACAGAUUUUGGCAUCACCCACGCUAGGUCCAUUCUAUUAAGCACCUCAUACCAGAGAGACCUAGCAACCUCACAAUGUAAAAAUGUAGAUGAUUCACCGACUCACCCCCACUUUUACACAUGCAGCUCCAGUCUGUAAUGAUUAUCCUCCUCUUUCUCAGAUUAUCCAUAGCGAGAAUCUUGCCUAAGGAUGUUGUCCACACAAAAAAGGAAGCUUUGGGAGUCCACCACAAACUAUCUUCCUGCUGGACAUUCGGACGACAAGAAUACAAGAGACUAUACAAAUCUACAAAACUCUCCACCUCCCAGUCUUGUGCCGCCCUGAUGAAAUUGAUAUUCCAGUGUGUUCUCCCACCCGCACUUCUCAUAACCUCUGCCACUGUAGCAUCUUUAUCACUUGCAAUCAGGAAAAGUAAAGGAAACAAAUUUUGAAGGGCACUGUUACCACACCAAGCAUCCUUCCAAAAUCCUACCCCCACCCUGAAAGAAAAAGAAAAAAAAGAAAAAAAUGGUAAUUAAUUACUAGUUACCAGAAUCAAACCCAAAUCUUUUGUCAAAAAAAUGUUGCGGAGACGGGAAAAA